GGAGAGCAGAGAGGGAGCGCGCCUUGGCUCGCUGGCCUUGGCGGCGGCUCCUCAGGAGAGCUGGGGCGCCCACGAGAGGAUCCCUCACCCGGGUCUCUCCUCAGGGAUGACAUCAUCCGUCCACCUCCUUGUCUUCAAGGACCACCUCCUCUCCAUGCUGAGCUGCUGCCAAGGGGCCUGCUGCCCAUCUACACCUCACGAGGGCACUAGGAGCACGGUUUCCUGGAUCCCACCAACAUACAAAGCAGCCACUCACUGACCCCCAGGACCAGGAUGGCAAAGGAUGAAGAGGACCGGAACUGACCAGCCAGCUGUCCCUCUUACCUAAAGACUUAAACCAAUGCCCUAGUGAGGGGGCAUUGGGCAUUAAGCCCUGACCUUUGCUAUGCUCAUACUUUGACUCUAUGAGUACUUUCCUAUAAGUCUUUGCUUGUGUUCACCUGCUAGCAAACUGGAGUGUUUCCCUCCCCAAGGGGGUGUCAGUCUUUGUCGACUGACUCUGUCAUCACCCUUAUGAUGUCCUGAAUGGAAGGAUCCCUUUGGGAAAUUCUCAGGAGGGGGACCUGGGCCAAGGGCUUGGCCAGCAUCCUGCUGGCAACUCCAAGGCCCUGGGUGGGCUUCUGGAAUGAGCAUGCUACUGAAUCACCAAAGGCACGCCCGACCUCUCUGAAGAUCUUCCUAUCCUUUUCUGGGGGAAUGGGGUCGAUGAGAGCAACCUCCUAGGGUUGUUGUGAGAAUUAAAUGAGAUAAAAGAGGCCUCAGGCAGGAUCUGGCAUAGAGGAGGUGAUCAGCAAAUGUUUGUUGAAAAGGUUUGACAGGUCAGUCCCUUCCCACCCCUCUUGCUUGUCUUACUUGUCUUAUUUAUUCUCCAACAGCACUCCAGGCAGCCCUUGUCCACGGGCUCUCCUUGCAUCAGCCAAGCUUCUUGAAAGGCCUGUCUACACUUGCUGUCUUCCUUCCUCACCUCCAAUUUCCUCUUCAACCCACUGCUUCCUGACUCGCUCUACUCCGUGGAAGCACGCUCACAAAGGGCUAAUCUCGGGCCUUGUCGAAGGAAGAGGCUGCAGACGUUAAUGAGGUUAGCUGCUGGAUUCCAGUAUUCGUCGCAUAAGGAUCCUUCUUUGUCUGCGAAGGAAAAACACACUGAUUAUCAUAAUGAGGCACGUGGGCCGUGGCCCGGCUGGGUCGGCUGAAGAACUGCGGAUGGAAGCUGCGGAAGAGGCCCUGAUGGGGCCCACCAUCCCGGACCCAAGUCUUCUUCCUGGCGGGCCUCUCGUCUCCUUCCUGGUUUGGGCGGAAGCCAUCACCUGGAUGCCUACGUGGGAAGGGACCUCGAAUGUGGGACCCCAGCCCCUCUCCAGCUCGAAAUCCCUCCACAGCCACGGGGACACCCUGCACCUAUUCCCACGGGACAGGCUGGACCCAGAGACUCUGGACCCGGGGCCUCCCCUUGAGUAGAGACCCGCCCUCUGACUGAUGGACGCCGCUGACCUGGGGUCAGACCCGUGGGCUGGACCCCUGCCCACCCCGCAGGAACCCUGAGGCCUAGGGGAGCUGUUGAGCCUUCAGUGUCUGCAUGUGGGAAGUGGGCUCCUUCACCUACCUCACAGGGCUGUUGUGAGGGGCGCUGUGAUGCGGUUCCAAAGCACAGGGCUUGGCGCACCCCACUGUGCU
rnacentral:lncRNA from 1 species